GGCAAGGAAGUGAAAGUCACUUCCAACCUUAUGUUACAGCCACCAGAAAAAAACAGGGCAGACGAAGCCAACAAGCAUCAUUCUCAGUUCUUGGAUCUAAAUCAACUCAUCCCCAAAAGAGAAAAAGAAGCAACCGAAAAGACUGCUCAUGACCAAUCCAGAAACCGGAUAAAUAUCGGAAUACAUUUUGGAAGAGUGAAGCUGAAAUGAACGCCGUUCUCAUGGACUGGUAACGUUAGAGCAUUUGGCAGUACGUCCAACCAGCCUCACAACUGCAGACCACGGGUAAGCCAGCCCAGGACCUCUGCAUCUGACUUCUUCACCUGAGGGAUUGUCUUGAGACCAGCCACCAAACAAGCUGAUGAAACUGAGGGGUAUUUCUGUCUGUAAUAAAGCCCUUUUGUGGGGAAAAAACUGAUUCUGAUUGGCAGGGCCUGACUCCAGCAGUGGGUGGGCAUAUGCCUUCCCAGUCAUGUGAAAUCCAUAGAUUAGAGAUUAAUGAAUUUAUUUCAAAUGACUCAUUUCAUUAUAGGAACUGUAACUCAGUAAAAUUGUUGAAUGUUGCAUUCAUAUUUUUGUUCAGUAUAGUUAUAAUACCGGUCAAAGUUUUAAGACACCUACUCAUUGAAGGUUUUUAAUUUAUUUUUACUAUUUUCAACAUUGUAGAAAUACAUCAAAACUAUGAAAUAAUGUAACCAAAAAAGUGUUAAACAAAUCAAAAUAUAUUUUAUAUUUGAGAUUCUUUAAAUAGCCACUCUUUGCACACUCUUGGAAUUCUCUCAACCAGCUUCACCUGGAAUGUUUUUCCGGCUUCACUCUUCUACCUUUUCAAACUACAUUUUUAAUUUUCUCUCCUUUUUCUCUUUUUGGGUCAAGUUGAUUCAAGAGCUGAGAAUGGUGCUUGUUGGCUUCGUCUUCUCUGUUUGUUUCAGGCAGCUGUAACAUAAGGUUGCAAGUGACUUUCACCUCCUCUCCAGCUCUGGGGCAGCAUGAUCAUUCAAGUAAUGGAGGUACAUAUCCUGGACCCACCUAUAAUCCCUUCACCUGGCUCUAUAAAGUGGUCCAUUGUCCAGAAUACACCAAGUGCAUUCGUUUCUGCAUUGGUAUCUACCCGGGUGUUGUUGUGGGCUAGGAGAUGGCAUGGCAGAUACCUCCUGCAGGUGAAGAAAGGUAGAAGCUUCUGGAGGACUGCAGUCAUCCACUUCCUUAUCUGAGCCCCAAAGGUCAAAUGGUGACAGACACACAGACAAAACCAGGGAGACCAUGCAAACCAGCCUGGUCUCAUAGACUAGUCUCAUAGACUAACAUGGUAAACGUAAAUCCGCAACACUCAAAUGAUGAUAUGAUAUGUUACAAAAGACAAAAGGUUACUUAAGGCAAAAUCUAAAGUAGGGUGGUUGGUCGGGCGCAUAAUGUGAAAGUCAAAAGUUUGCGUGUUCGUAUCUCAUUAUGGACAACUUUAGAAAUGUAGCUACUUUGUAACUACUUAGCAUGUUAGCUAACCCUUCCCCUAACCUAGCUAAAGUUAGCCAUUGGAAUUCAUAACAUGAUACAUUUGCAAAUGUGUAACAUUGUAUGAAUUGUAACUAAUAACGUGGAUAUCCACAAAUGUAUACAUGCCACACUAUCAUACUAAUUGGAGUGUUCCAGAUGUACUUUUACUAUGUUAUGUCGACCCGAGUCCAGGCUGUGCAAAAAUGCAAAGACGGGCAGCAGGGAAUCAUAGAUGAGUUCAUGGGCAGCACAUGAACACUGAGUGAGAGUACAUUGAUAAAGAUAGGUAGUGGGGGGAAAAAUGAACCAGAAAUGCAUAUGUAGUGGAGGAGAGGUCUUUUUAAAGUGGAGGUAAGAGGUGCUGUGCAUCUGGAGGAUUCAUGGGGCUGGUAGCAGAGAGCAAAGGCCUAUGGGUAGGAUGGCCAGGACUGGCAGGGUUUCAGGGGAGAAGAGUGCUGAUAUCUCAUAACUGUCAAAAUGGACAUUGUUUAUUCAUGGUUUUCAUAGUUUACGUGCACAUUGAGAAAGAAAAGGGAACUUGGUGUUUGAAUAAAAAAUAUUUAAAAAAAGGUUAGCAGGGGGAAGAUAAAAAAGCGUGUCUGUUUACUAUAAUAAACUACUUUCCACUUGGCUGUAAACAAGUAACUCACCAUCGAACCAUUUGCACAGUUCUUUGUCAAAGCUGAAAUGCUGCACUUGUGAGUUACACAACAAAGAUAGAGUUAAACAAAGAAUAAAUAACAGUGCACUUAUUCAAGCAGCUGAGUCAGAAGUUAAAAGUGGCUGCCACAUAUCUCUCAAGUGGCUAAAGGUGACUCUCAAACAAGGCCCAAUGAAUCUCGGAGGAAAUAAAGCUGGGGAUCUACAAAUUCAACUUCUAGUCGCUUGCCAAUUUGUGCAAAUGUUUAAUCAUCUGUCCUGGAAUAAAGCAAUAUUCAGUACAAAUGGGAUUCCUUAUUCUUUGCAAUGAACAAGAUAGUAAUACAGGAGACAUUGAACGGCAUACAAAUGACAUUGGGCUCUCAAAGUAAACCCUAGUUUACUUUGAACAUAGAUAAUUUAUUUGCAUUAGAAAGUGCUAAUUCCACUUGCAAGGUAAUGUAGGCAAAUUGACGAAGUGCUUGGUGUGGUUUCAUCAUUGUUAAAAAAGGACUACGCACACUCUCUCAAUAUAGCUGUAAUAUAUGCGUGUCUAUGUGUGUAUUGUCAAAAAUAAACCAUUAUUUUACUGGCAAAGUGUUUGGUGGUUUCACCAUUGUUAAAAACUACCGGCAUUUCCUCCAAAUAUAGUUAUAUUCUACACAUAUCUACCUGGGUUGUCAAAUGGAAACAAAUAUUUAUUCUUCACAAAGUAUGGCCACCAUACUAAUUUUGGAAUGAAGGAGAGGAUGUAAAUAUCUGCUCCUGGAAGAUCCAUGCGGCUCUGUACCUACGUAGUGCACUGUAAAAGGAAUAGGGUACCAUUUGGGAAGCAUUCACUGUUUUAUCAGUAGUGAGACAAUUGCAACAACAAUCGUAAGAGAAUGUCGAGGGGCAACAUAAUAGAAUCAAUGUGUUGACCUUUGAGGAAGAGGUGUUUCCUAGCCAUAUCAUUUGGCAAACAGGACAGGGUCUGACAAAUCUAUGUUUCAUAAUCAAGCAAUUCCCGGAAAUAACAGUAUCUAAUCUAAACAUUGAUGACCUCGCACUCCUCUGAUGCAGGUAGACCAAU